UUUCUCUGUGGAACAAAAAUUCCUUUCAUGCUAGUGACAAAGCUGAGGAAAAUGAUGCAUAAACUAACUGGAAAUCAAAUAUUAAUAUGAAGAUUCUCUCCUGCUAGAAGACAGGGAGAUACAUGCUCAGGUAUGAAUUCAGCUUUAGAUGGACAGUGGAUGCUGGCCGUGUUCAAAGAUCUAGUCCAAGGGAGGAGGGAUGGAUGACAGACCAAGCAGGAUCUGGAGUUAGCAAGAUAUUCCGAGUGUUGGGCUGCUCCUUUUUACCUCCAUCAAGGGUGAAGGUGACAUGCUUGGAUCUCCCAGGCUGAGAGCUGUCAUUUUGAUCUGGAGGCGGAUCCAAAGGGAGAAAAAUGACACUUACUUUUCUGAGGGGCUUGUGUUUCCAUGGGCAAAACAUUGCUAGUUCCAACACACAUUCAUAUGGACAUGUCCAGCACUAGGUUUUCCUCAUCUUCACUGGUGAAAAUGAAUGCAGUGCUCUUCCUUGUGCAAACAGGACUUCAUUCAUUUAUGCAGUUAUUAAGGAAACCUCGGCGUUGUGGACAUGCACACAAGGGUCUGAUGGUCUCAGCAAACUACUGUUCCUUUGUGGUGGGUGCCUAAUGCAGUAGUGACACAGAAUUUACAUGACAAAGGAAUGAAAAAAUAUCUUUAGUACUGGCUUCCAGAUGACUGAAGGCUAGGUUUCAAUAAAAGGAGUCAUGAUUUGUGCACUAGUUUGCAAAAUUGCCUCUCUUUGCUGGGGGAAAACAUUGUCUGUUUGCUGCUUUCAGGGUGUUUGCUGCUUUCAGCGUGUUUCCUACAACAGAGCCAUGAUUGGGCACCACAGCAGGUGGUGGUGUCUUUGUGUUGGGCAGCUGUGGCUCCCCACUGAAUCUACUGUUUCAGAUGUGGAUCUGCUACAGUUGCUCAGCCUACUGGGCUUAGCAGCCCCCGCAUCAUCUGCAUGAACUACUUUCAGCAGGGUCAAUGUAGUCUUGGGGUGGCAACUGGCACCUUAGAGCUGUCUUCUGUAGAGCUUGCUGAGCUUGGUGGCCACCUCAGUGCACAAAAAGUACUUCUCCAGAGAGGCUGUUUCCACCAGCAACUCCUAUAGUGGAAGAAUUAAUUUAAAAGCUUAUUUCUUCUGCCUCUUUUGGUGCACCUCCAGCUAUGUCUAGCUUCCCUUGCCCCAUGUCUCCACAGGUCUUGCCAAAUAUUCGGGCUUUUUAGUGCAUUUUCCCUCAUUCCCAUUAUAAAAAAAUCCAGCUGCUGCAAAGAUUGCCUCUCUAGGGGAACUCAUCUGUGCUCAGCCAUCAUUGUCACCAUAACCUUCCCAAUGGAGUUUAAUGACGUGCUUGCGAUUAAGCAAUUACACAUUAUCAGGAACAGAGUAAAUCAAGCCUUUUAUCUCCACUAACAGGAUAUUUCCUGUUAGUGAGCGUUCCUGCCAAAAGAACCUAAGGGAAAGAUAGGAUGUUUUUCAUGUUAUGUAAGCUUAUUUAUUGAGGCAGCUUGCACGGCCAUGUGUUGGAUGCAGCCACCUCUGCUCUGGCACAGCCACCCAACUCCCACCCCACAUGGUAAGGGGACCAGACCUGCACAGUCGUGAGUGGUUGGGUGACAGUGAACCACAGCCACUUUUACGGCAUGCUGCCAAGGCCUGCUCAGAAGCAGGCAAAUGGUUUUCUAAGGUGCUACACACUUGCAGAUAAAAUUCCUGGGCUUGUCAGAUAGUUGUCUUGUCUGAAGACACCUCCUUUACAGACAGAAGGAUCUUGGAGCUGCUGCAAGCUUUGCUGUGCAGAUAAAAGAGGAAAGAGGCCACCCAUGCUCUUGCUCGCUCUGCAUUCAAUUAGCUCGCUCACUGAUGGGCUAGCACCGCAGAAUGGAUUUUCCCACUCAUUGAUCUCUUAAUGUAAAUGAGCUCUGGUUUUAAACUCAAACCAUACAUGCUCUUUUUCCCCUUGGAGCUUUUCUUCUCUUGUAUUGUGCUCAGACUAUAUUUUCCUCCUAGCUAGGAUGAGACCCAUCAUUGCAAUUGCAGGCCUGCAUUAUCCUUAUUUAUACAAACAGCCCUGAUAUGGCCAUUUGCCUCAAAAUGCCUGUAUUUAUUUAUCCUUUUUAUUGUCCUCCUCUUAUACUGUUUGAGAAGACCCUGUAAAUUUGUCUGGUGCAGCUCUUUCCUCUUAUUCCCUCAGGCUUUUUAUGCAGGAAUAGUUAAUAUCUUGUAUGUGUGAAAAUUUUCCGUAACUGUCUACAAAAGCAUGACUAGCCAAUAACAGUGAUGUUUUGAGCUAGGUGGGAUUCAUUCACGUAUUAUUUAAUUUAAGUUUUAAAAAGAGAUUGUCCUUUUUUUGUUCUUUGUGAUUAACAUGUUCUCUGUUGUCUUUCAGAUCUUGAUUAGGAACGUUACCUUCUGUAUCUGCAGGAAUAAUUACUUAGUGCCUAGUAGUCAAAAUAUCACCUGAACACAGCCUUUGAGAUCAGCAACACUGAAAAAAGCAAUAAAUAUAGUAGAACCCUAAGAGCUACUGGGAAACAAGGCUUAGAUUAUUUUGGACCAUUUAUUAGCAACAGCCAUAUCUAAGAACAGAUAUCUGAUGCGGGAAUUUAAGCAGAACAAGGUCUAAUGGAAUUACGCUCACCUUCCAAAGCAGAUUUCAUCAGUACUUCAGAAUCCAAAAUCUUUCCCCCAGUCUGAUUUCCGUCUCAGAGAAAAAGAAGCAGCUAGGUGUCAUGGUAGAAGGCAUUAAUUCUGAGUAAUAUUAUAGUUGCCCUCCUUAAGAAAAGGAAAAGACAAAUGCAACUUUUAAAAAUUUCUAUUGUCAUAAAAGAAAGUUUUUCUUAGCCAAGUGUGGUACGUUGGAACACUGCUAUUUAACAUUUAAUCACAUUCAAAUAGGCACUUCAUAAUAAAUAUUUAUGAAGACAGUAGCUCAUGAGUGUUGAGAUUAUUUCUAUUAAAAGCAGCAUAAAAAAAUCUAUCACUUUUGGUUUCUGUAUGAAAUCUGGCAAGAACAUGCCUCAGGUAUGACUGAAGAUAUGAAUUCU